rnacentral:rRNA from 1 species
UUCGGAUUGUAGGCUGCAACUCGCCUACAUGAAGUUGGAAUUGCUAGUAAUCAUAGGUCAGCAUACUAUGGUGAAUACGUUCCCGGGCCUUGUACACACCGCCCGUCACACCAUGAGAGUUGAGAAUACCCGAAGCCCAUGUCAAAGUGGUCGAAGGUAGGCUUGAUGAUUGGGGUGAAGUCGUAACAAGGUACC